rnacentral:rRNA from 1 species
UACGUAGGGGGCAAGCGUUGUCCGGAAUUAUUGGGCGUAAAGAGCGUGUAGGCGGCCCGAUUAGUCCGCUGUGAAAGUCCAGGGCUCAACCCUGGAAUGCCGGUGGAUACUGUCGGGCUAGAGUCCGGAAGGGGCGAGUGGAAUUCCUGGUGUAGCGGUGAAAUGCGCAGAUAUCAGGAGGAACACCAAUGGCGAAGGCAGCUCGCUGGGACGUGACUGACGCUGAGACGCGAAAGCGUGGGGAGCAAACAGG